rnacentral:rRNA from 1 species
GAUGAACGCUGGCGGCGUGCCUAAUACAUGCAAGUCGAGCGAACAGACGAGGAGCUUGCUCCUCUGACGUUAGCGGCGGACGGGUGAGUAACACGUGGAUAACCUACCUAUAAGACUGGGAUAACUUCGGGAAACCGGAGCUAAUACCGGAUAAUAUAUUGAACCGCAUGGUUCAAUAGUGAAUGACGGUUUUGCUGUCACUUAUAGAUGGUUCCGCGCCGCAUUAGCUAGUUGGUAAGGUAACGGCUUACCAAGGCAACGAUGCGUAGCCGACCUGAGAGGGUGAUCGGCCACACUGGAACUGAGACACGGUCCAGACUCCUACGGGAGGCAGCAGUAGGGAAUAUUCCGCAAUGGGCGAAAGCCUGACGGAGCAACGCCGCGUGAGUGAUGAAGGUCUUCGGAUCGUAAAACUCUGUUAUUAGGGAAGAACAAAUGUGUAAGUAACUAUGCACGUCUUGACGGUACCUAAUCAGAAAGCAACGGCUAACUACGUG